rnacentral:rRNA from 1 species
UACGUAGGGUCCGAGCGUUGUCCGGAAUUACUGGGCGUAAAGAGCUCGUAGGUGGUUUGUCGCGUUGUUCGUGAAAACUCACAGCUCAACUGUGGGCGUGCGGGCGAUACGGGCAGACUGGAGUACUGCAGGGGAGACUGGAAUUCCUGGUGUAGCGGUGGAAUGCGCAGAUAUCAGGAGGAACACCGGUGGCGAAGGCGCUCAUCUGGCCCAAUACUGACGCUGAAGCGCGAAAGCUAGGGGAGCAAACGGG